AUUUUCAUUUCCCCCCUUUACUUCUCAACCAAAAUUUUAAUUCCCUCUUCCUCUUAUCCAAAUCCUUUCGGAGAAAACUCAUAACUCUCUUCCUGUUUUUCAAUAUCAAAACUCUAUCUCUUGUAAAGCUCCCUGUGGUGUGUUUUCUCUUGAAAGGCCAGAAAAGCACAAACACCUCCGUCGAUUGUAAACACCUCUGAUUUACACCUGCUAUAGGGUUCAACUUUGGGGCUUUCAUCUUCCAGAGUGCUUCAUGCAUAUGAAAACUUCAAAUUAGGAUGCUACAACAGGAAUUACAAGAUGAAGAUUAGAGAAUGCACAAAUUUCAGGAUAAAACAGCCUUAAUAGAUCAGUUCCCGUCUUUAUAAAAGGUUAUUUCAUAGAUAUAGUCAUGUGGCAUGAUCAGAUUCUGACCUGCUUGACCAAUAAGCACUGGCUAGCAUCUAUAUCAUCCGAUGGUACAAACAAGGUUCGAAUCAGUCCCUAUCUUGAGUCUGAAUAUUCAUGUGGCAUGAUCAGAUUCUGACCUGCAUGAAAACAAUUCCUCACCAUUUGAAAGAAUGUGACAAGAAAGCUUGAAUGCAUUAAGAAUGUAGAUAACAACAGCUUGAAGUCUGCCAUGGAUCACAUUUUAGAAGCUCGGCAAAAAGGAGAGCCACGCUGCAAAUGCCAAAGACAUGAAAUUUAUCAUAGAGAUGGUUAUUCAUGCACUUUUUACCUUAAAAAUUUGAAGUACUCGUAGAGACAUGAUAUUUAUAUGUAUGCAAUUUUAGAUAGAAGUUGCAGAUAAAUUUCAAUUUUUUGUAUUGAUAUAUUUAUUGAUUCA